AGGCAAAAAAAGACCCAAAACUAUUCCGAUUGUUCUGGGUCCAGGGGAAUGGCUCUAAUUAAAGAGCCGUGCGCUACUGUUGAGAUCCUGAUUAGGAAUUAACUCUCUGGCUAAAAGUGUAGUCGACAUAAUUAGCUUGCAGCGCUU
rfam:Shewanella violacea DSS12 DNA, complete genome.